rnacentral:rRNA from 1 species
GAAGAUAGUGGCGAACGGGUGAGUAACGACGUGGGUAACCUGCCCACUAAGAGGGGAGUAACAUCCGGAACGGGUAGCUAAUACCGCAUAGUUUCUUGGUCGCAUGAUCGGGAAAGGAAAGACGGCCUUUGUGCUGUCGCUUAUGGAUGGACCCGCGGCGUAUUAGUUAGUUGGUGAGGUAACGGCUCACCAAGACGAUGAUACGUAGCCGACCUGAGAGGGUGAUCGGCCACAUUGGGACUGAGACACGGCCCAAACUCCUACGGGAGGCAGCAGUAGGGAAUCUUCCGCAAUGGACGAAAGUCUGACGGAGCAACGCCGCGUGAGUGAAGAAGGUUUUCGGGAAUCGUAAAACUCUGUUGUCAGAGAAGAACAAGUUGGUGAGUAACUGCUCCAGCCUUGACAGUAUCUGACCAGAAAGCCACGGCUAACUACGUGCCAGCAGCAGC